rnacentral:lncRNA from 1 species
AAACCCAUCUGUAACUGAACGCUCAGCUCUUCUUAAUUUGCACACACUGCGAGCCCUGGGUUGCACCUGCUCUACAGGGAGCACUAUCUUUGGAAGUGGAUGAUGUGCGUUUGAAUCCCUGGAGGUUGAGAAUGGUGCUGAAACCUGAUGUCCAACUUCCUCAGUGAACGAUACACAGUGGUGAUAUGUUUGGUGUCUUGCUGUUUAACAAGAAAAUCACUGCUCUCACACCACCCUUGGAGAACGACUGACUAGGCAAUCACCUUGAAGGAUAGCUAUUUGCAUACAGUGUUGCGAAUACUGGAUUUCUGAACACAGGCUUCUGUUAACUUGUUCCUUCUAUUUCAAUAAAAG